AACAGUAGUGGUGUGGUCGUGGUCGAGAGUGGAUGUGUACCGCGGGUCUCUCUCUGUCUCUCUCUAUCUCCCUUCUUGCUCUCUUAUAGUGCCGUAGGAAAACAAAGUACCACUUCUUCCCCCGUUGGAGUUAAAAGAACAGAAAAGACUCAGGGUAAUCCCGACAUAGUAAUGCCUCACUCUGGAGGGUGGACACGGAAAGGCACCGAAAGAAUUAUGUCAGCAUUUUCACAGUAAACUCGAGGUGCUUCUAUGAGGCCAACACAGGCGCCAAUGGAAGAAUGACUUUCAUUGUGAGAUUAUCAAGCUGUGAGGUUCCAGGUGCACGGGAGAAGUUUAUAUGAAUCAAAAACUAACUUAUUCUCUAUGUACACGGAACAAUUACACAAGCCUGAUUUUAGAGAAAUAUUCUCAAAUACCAUGCCGAUCUAGUGAGCAGUAAAAUAGCCAAAAAAUUUCAAAUGAGUGAAAAUUAAGUGGAUUGUAUUUACAAUAUAACCGUUACAUUUCUGGAAAACUAACUUUAUUGUUUAGAUCGUACGAUAUUUAUGGAAAUCCUACGAUAAUUGAAUGUUCUAAACGGUUUAUAUUUCAGUGGAUUGAGCGCAUUAUGAAUGAUGAGGUCAGUGUCACCAAUAAAACAAAAAUAAGGGAAAAAUUCUCGGCAAAAAGGAAUAAAGAAUCAAUAACAUUGUGACUCAGUAACUGUUCUAAUUUCCGUGGUUUUUAAAGCCAGUUAGACCCUGAAGGAAAAUAUCUACUAUAAAAGCAUUUAUAAGAAAGGAAAAUAAGAGAAGGGCCUCCGUAAUAACGAAAAACUUCCAGUUCAGCGGGCAUUCAGGAAAAAACUUCAUUUGAAACCGUUACAACGGAAAUACUUCGGCUCAGCCGUAGAUAAACUGCGAUCCCCGUGAAAGCGGAUUAAGAAAAGAUGGCGCUGCUGGGGUGGUCACUCCCUCUCAUCUUCCUCCCGGGUCUCAUGGUCAUCAUCUUGUCAGGAAAUGGUUGCCAUGGAGACAAGGGGUGUCCGCCCCCUAACUCACAGCUUCAAUUUCUCCGUGUUGCCUGUGGCAGAUUCCACAGACCAAGUUCAGGAGGUGAUGUUCAUGGGUGUAGUGGGCCCGUUCGACGAGAGUCUGUAAGAUAAAGUGCAUCGAUGGGCGGUGGGUGGGACCACUCUGUUCCCUACAGCAAGAUUCCAAUCGCUUCCAAUCGAUGUUCCGGCCGUGCCACG